GGCUUAUACAAUCUUCCAAUUAACAAAGGUUCGUUGGUAUAAUAUUCUUUCUUCAUCCUAUAAGAAACUGGGCUUACUACUCCAUAACUGCGGCAUAUCAUCAUGCUAAUAAAUCCUGAGAAAAUAGAACAUGCCAAUUGUCAUCACUUAUGAGUUCUAUAGUUACCCCAUUAAACUAAGAUUGAAAAGGACCUACAACACCAUCUGCAAUUCAGACAAUGUAAUGGAAUGGGCCAAAUGAAGAAGAGAUCACCCGUUCCCAUAACCUGCACAACGCAGAUGCGAAGGCAAAACCAGUUUUUGCAAAUGGCAACAAUAAUAAAUUUUUAAUGUAUAAACCCAUAGAGGGGUGCAAAUUAUUAAAACCUUUUUAAAAGAUAUAUCAAAUAUUAUAAAGAAUAAAUUUCCAAUUAACUCGCAUCUCACCUGCGCUUGAAGAUGUACAACACACCAACAGCAACAAGAAACCUGCAUUAUAAAAAAACCAUCUAAACCUAAUUGAUUCUAAGAAAAUUUAAUAAAUAACAAGACCAAAAAUCUGCAGUAGCACCAAAUAUACAAAACUAUAAUUUUUUAUAGACAAUUAGUAUAAAAUAUCAAAAAUAUAAACAAAAUUAUGAGGACAAAAAUCAUGAACCACGAGCUUAAUGACGCAAAUUUGAAGACAACCAAAGAUGAUAUAACACAGACCAAAAUAAUAUUAUUUUCUUCCCUUCAUAUAUAUAAAGACAAUGAAAGAAAUUCUAACGAAGAGUUAGUAGUGUAUAUGAAGUAUGAACUACAUAUAAUGGACAUUAUGUACAUCCUGUAGUAUAAACAAACACUAACUAUUGGUGGCUUUUUCACUUCUAUUACAAAGAGAUGUCAAAUGUGAAAGCUUUCCAUCACAUAGCAAAAUCAUACCAAAUUGAGUGAUUCACAUUUCACAACACUUCAAAUCAGCACCAAAUUGUAAUGAGGCAGAAAAAUAUAUCCACUUAAAAAACCAACUACCACAAUCAGAUUCCUUUAUGAACAAACAAGCACACAAAAAAUAUAUAUAAAUCCACAACCAUGAAAAAUAACAAUGAUGCCACCACACACACUUGAGUCUCACCAUAGAGACUUUAUGUAUUUAUAUCUGUUACAUAAGCUAAGGCAAACAAAAAAUACAAAUCCAGGAAAAAAAAUCAUAGAAUAAAAAUUCAUAUAAAUAAAUUAUUAUAUAAUAUAAUAAAGUAAUAAACCAUAGGAUUUCAUGAGAAAUCCAAAAAUCUCAACCAAACAAAGCAAUCUGAGAAUAACUAAAAUCAUCAAUACAUAAAAAUCAAAAUAAAGGUGAAAACUAUGAUUGAUGAUGAAUCAGAAGCAAAAUAAUCGAAAAUCAGAAACUGAUCAAGUAAGCGAUUCGAGUUACACAUACAAAAAAAAAGUACGAAACAUAAACCGUAAGAAGAUGAUUAUGAUGAUGAUGAUGAUGAUGAUGAUGAUGAUGAUGAUGAUGAUGAUGAUGAUCAAAAAGUAAACAAAAUUGAAAACGGUAAUCAUAGAGAAUCGAUGUAAUAGAAUCAGAAAUCAUAAAUGAGAAGAUAAAGGUGGCUUAC
rnacentral:lncRNA from 1 species